CUCGGAUCCGAAACCUCCACUUUUUUCCAUCGCCCUGAUGGCCUCGUCAAGUUCUUUUUCUCUUCGUUGCCGCGCGGCGGCCGAGGCUAGCAAUGCGUAGCUGUGUCUCUCGCCGCCUCGCACACCAACGAGGAGACGUGUCCGCGAGAUAUCGCCCGUUGCGUACCUCCGUUUCCGGUUCUUUCUUUUCCUCAGUCCACUUCGACAUCGCCUGUCGUGUGUGUCUCUUGUGCCUUACCAAAUUCCGUCGGGUCUUGGCGCCGAUCGCUCUGCCGGCGAAAAACAGAAGCCCACGACGAGAUCCGCCAUCGGGGCGCGGCCGUCUCCAUUUCUCUCAAGCGCCCAUCUCGGUCUCCCUUCUCUUGUCUCUCCCUCGGUUGCCUCGACGCCGGAGUGUCCAGGCGUCGCCAGCAAGGAAUCCAGACUCUGGCCUCGCCGUUCUGCUCCUCCCGAGCCCGAAAACGAGGAACUCCUGGAGGACGACGCUCCUUGUGCGUUUCCCUCUGGCGGCCAUUAUUUCGUUCCCGCGUUCCCUCCACCCCAGAGGAGUGAGCGUCGUCCUUUCCCCGUUGGAUGUCGAAAUCCAACGCGUUUGGCUGCCUCAAUCGUUUCUACGGGA
rnacentral:lncRNA from 1 species